rnacentral:rRNA from 1 species
CGUACGCACUGGCCCACUGAUUGAUGGUGCUUGCACCUGAUUGACGAUGGAUCACCAGUGAGUGGCGGACGGGUGAGUAACACGUAGGUAACCUGCCCCGGAGCGGGGGAUAACAUUUGGAAACAGAUGCUAAUACCGCAUAACAACAAAAGCUGCAUGGCUUUUGUUUGAAAGAUGGCUUUGGCUAUCACUCUGGGAUGGACCUGCGGUGCAUUAGCUAGUUGGUAAGGUAACGGCUUACCAAGGCGAUGAUGCAUAGCCGAGUUGAGAGACUGAUCGGCCACAAUGGAACUGAGACACGGUCCAUACUCCUACGGGAGGCAGCAGUAGGGAAUCUUCCACAAUGGGCGCAAGCCUGAUGGAGCAACACCGCGUGAGUGAAGAAGGGUUUCGGCUCGUAAAGCUCUGUUGUUGGAGAAGAACGUGCGUGAGAGUAACUGUUCACGCAGUGACGGUAUCCAACCAGAAAGUCACGGCUAACUACGUGCCAGCAGCCGCGGUAAUACGUAGGUGGCAAGCGUUAUCCGGAUUUAUUGGGCGUAAAGCGAGCGCAGGCGGUUGCUUAGGUCUGAUGUGAAAGCCUUCGGCUUAACCGAAGAAGUGCAUCGGAAACCGGGCGACUUGAGUGCAGAAGAGGACAGUGGAACUCCAUGUGUAGCGGUGGAAUGCGUAGAUAUAUGGAAGAACACCAGUGGCGAAGGCGGCUGUCUGGUCUGCAACUGACGCUGAGGCUCGAAAGCAUGGGUAGCGAACAGGAUUAGAUACCCUGGUAGUCCAUGCCGUAAA